rnacentral:rRNA from 1 species
CCUACGGGCGGCAGCAGUGGGGAAUAUUGCACAAUGGGGGAAACCCUGAUGCAGCGACGCCGCGUGAGUGAAGAAGUAAUUCGUUACGUAAAGCUCUAUCAGCAGGGAAGAAAAUGACGGUACCUGAGUAAGAAGCCCCGGCUAACUACGUGCCAGCAGCCGCGGUAAUACGUAGGGGGCAAGCGUUAUCCGGAUUUACUGGGUGUAAAGGGAGCGUAGACGGUGGGGCAAGUCUGGAGUGAAAUGCCACGGCUUAACGAGGGAACUGCUUUGGAAACUGUCGAGCUGGAGUGCGGGAGAGGUAAGCGGAAUUCCUAGUGUAGCGGUGAAAUGCGUAGAUAUUAGGAGGAACACCAGUGGCGAAGGCGGCUUACUGGACCGUAACUGACGUUGAGGCUCGAAAGCGUGGGGAGCAAACAGGAUUAGAUACCCUUGUAGUC